GAGUUUGAUCAUGGCUCAGGACGAACGCUGGCGGCGUGCUUAACACAUGCAAGUCGAACGUGAUUUUUGUGGAGAUUCCUUCGGGAAUGGAAGUAAAAUGAAAGUGGCGAACGGGUGAGUAACACGUGAGCAACCUACCUUACACAGGGGGAUAGCCGUUGGAAACGACGAUUAAUACCGCAUGAGACCACAGUAUCGCAUGGUAUAGGGGUCAAAGAUUUAUCGGUGUAAGAUGGGCUCGCGUCUGAUUAGCUAGUUGGAAGGGUAAAGGCCUACCAAGGCGACGAUCAGUAGCCGGUCUGAGAGGAUGAACGGCCACAUUGGAACUGAGACACGGUCCAAACUCCUACGGGAGGCAGCAGUGGGGAAUAUUGCACAAUGGGGGGAACCCUGAUGCAGCGACGCCGCGUGAGCGAAGAAGGUUUUCGAAUCGUAAAGCUCUGUCCUAUGAGAAGAUAAUGACG
rnacentral:rRNA from 1 species